GACGAACGCUGGCGGCGUGCCUAAUACAUGCAAGUCGAACGCAGUGGGGACGGGUGAGUAACACGUGGGUAACCUCCCAUCAGAGGGGAUAACACUUGGAAACAGGUGCUAAACCGAUACUGAUGUAUGGACCCGCGGUGCAUUAGCUAGUUGGUGGGGUAACGGCUCACCAAGGCCACGAUGCGUACCCGAACUGAGAGGGGGAUAGGCCACACUGGGACUGAGAAACGGACCAGACGCCUACGGGAGGCAGCAGUAGGGAAUCUUCGGAAAUGGACGAAAGUCUGACCGAGCAACGCAGCGUGAGUGAAGAAGGUUUUCGGAUCGUAAAACUCUGUUGUUAGAGAAGCGGUAUCUAACCAGAAAGCCACGGCUAACUACGUGCCAGCAGCCGCGGUAAUUC
rnacentral:rRNA from 1 species